rnacentral:lncRNA from 1 species
UUGAACUAGAAGAUAAGGAGAACAUAUUUUUUAACAUUCCUCCUUUUAAACACUGCACUCUCUAAAGUAACCACCAUACUAGAAAAUCAGGGUUCAUAAAAUAAGCUUGAACCUCAAGUUAUACAAGAAAUGUUUUCUUUAGGUGUAUUCAAUAAGAAAAUACUUGGAUUUUUUAUCCAAAGCAAGUUUAAGAAUCCGGCUCGUGUGUUGAAAAUGAGGUAAGGUUUGAUAACCGCUUUCUUUCUAAUAUUGAUAUACUUAUUACACUUAGAAAUGGACGACAGGAUGCAUUAGGCAUCCAUUCUACCC